GACGAACGCUGGCGGCGUGCCUAAUACAUGCAAGUCGAACGAAGCUGUUUUAACUGGUGCUUGCACCGACUUAAACAACUGAGUGGCGAACGGGUGAGUAACACGUGGGUAACCUGCCCCAAAGCGGGGGAUAACAUUUGGAAACAGAUGCUAAUACCGCAUAACCACAGAAACCACAUGGUUUCUGUGCCAAAGAUGGUUUCGGCUAUCACUUUGGGAUGGACCCGCGGCGUAUUAGCUAGUUGGUAAGGUAAUGGCUUACCAAGGCAAUGAUACGUAGACGCACUGGGAGGUUGAUAGGCCACAUUGGGACUGAGACACGGCCCAAACUACUACGGGAGGAAGCAGUAGAGAAUCUUCCACAAUGGACGAAAGUCUGAUGGGGCAACGCCGCGUGAGUGAAGGAGGUUUUCGGACCGUAAAACUCUGUUGUCAGAGAAGAACGUGUGCGAGAGUAACUGCUCGUGCAGUGACGGUAUCUGGCCAGAAAGCCACGGCUAACUACGUGCCAGCAGCCGCCGUAA
rnacentral:rRNA from 1 species